CGGUUGUCACGCCAGUGGCAUUGCCGGGUAGCUAUGGUCGGACGGGAUAACCGCUGAAAGCAUCUAAGCGGGAAGCCCCCUUCAAGAUGAGACAUCCCCGAGGCCUAGAGCCUCCUGAAGGGCCCAGCGAGACCAGCUGGUGGAUAGGCACGGUGUGGAAGCGCUGCAAGGCGUUGAGCUAACGUGUACUAAUGGCCCGUGAGGCUUGACCCU
rnacentral:rRNA from 1 species